rnacentral:sRNA from 1 species
AUUUCCUUAUAUGCUCAAUAACAAAGUAUUGUCAAACAUUUCUUUGUUGAUAAAUUGAAUAGUUACAAUAGUAUUUCAUGGCUUAAAUUUAUAUUUUUCUUAUGAAUGAGAUGAGCAUCUCUUCAUGUUUUAUGUUUUAUGUUUGUUUUGAUACAGAGUCUUGCUCUGUUGCCCAGGCUGCAGUGCAGUGGUGCGAUCUCAGUUCACUGCAACCUCCACCUUCUGAGUCCAAGCAAUUCACCUGUCUCAGCCUCCCAGGAAGCUGGGAUUACAGGCAUGCACCACAUGCCUGGAUAAUUUUUGUAUUGUUAGUAGAGACAGGGUUUUGCCAUGUUGGCCAGGCUGGUCUUGAACUCCUGGCCUCAAGCAAUUCACUCUCCUCAGCCUCCCAAAGUGCUGGGAUUAUAGGCGUGAGCCACUGUGUCUAGCCAUCUUUUCAUGUAUUGAAUAGCCAUUUGUAUUCUUUUCUGUACCUCUCUAUUAAUAUUCUUUACUCAUCUGUAUUAGUGUGAUAGGGAUGCCAUAACAGAAUACCCCAGAAUAGAUGGCUUACACAACAGAAAUGUAUUUCUCACAAUUCUGGAGACUAGAAAUCCAAGUUCAAGGUGUUGGCAGGUUCGGUUUUUCCUGGGACCUCUCUCUUCGGCUUGUAGUUGGCCACCUUUUCACUGUGCCUCCACAGUCAUUCCUUUGUCUAUGUUGUCUAUGUCCUAAUCUCUUCUUAUAAGCACAUCAGUCAUAUUGUAUUAGGGUUCACCCUAACAAUUCCAUUUUAACUUAAUUACCUCUUUAGAUGCCCUGUCUCCAAAUACAAUCACAUUCUGAGGUACUCGGGAUUAGAACUUCUACAUAUAAAUGUUGUGGGAGGACAGAAUUCAGCCCUAACAUUCCACCCUCUGGCCUCUCAAAAUUCAUGUCCUUCUCACAUGCAAAAUACAUUCACCCCAUUCCCACAAUACCAGAAGUUUUAACCCAUUCCAGCAUCAACUGUAAGUCCAAAAUCCAUCUAAAUAUUAUUUAAAUCAGGUAUGGGUGAGACUUGAGAUAUGAUUCACCCUGAGGCAAAAUUCUUCUUCAGUUGUGAACCUGCAAAACCAGACAAGUUAUCUGCCUCCAAAAUUCAAUGGUGGAACAGGUAUGGAAUAGACAUUGCCAUUCCAAAAGAGAGACAUUGGGAAGAAGAAAAAAGUCACAGGUCCCAAACAAGUCCAAAACCUAACAGGGUAAAUUCCAUUAGAUUUUAAGGCUCAAGCAUAAUCCUCCUUGGCUCAGUGCUCUAUCCUCUGGGCCCACUGGAGUAGCAGCCCCACCUCCUUGGCUCUGGGUGGCAGUUCUGCCCCCUGGAACCAAGGAGGAAACCACCUCACCCUACCCAAGACUUGUGCCCUCUAGGCCUAUGGUGACAGUGGCAGCUCUGCCUACUUCUGAACUGCCUGUGGGGUCACUCUUCCCUUUUCUUGAAGGAUAAUACAUAUUUGCAGCUAUACAGCUGUAUUGACUUGUUUCAUAAAAUCCCAGAAGCCUGACACACUCCUUCAUUUGUCCCGUCUCUGUCCCUUACAGUCCAGACUGGCAGCAUUUCUGCUGAGGUGGUCCAAUCUCAUAACCUCUUUAGCGAACAUUGCCAAGCCACAAUCUUUGUGUUCUCUCCAGACACACUUUCUCAUUUUUCACAAUAUGAAUAGGCUGAAAUUUUUUCAAAGCUUUAAGUUCUGGCUCCAUCUUGCUUGACAAUUCCUUAUUUAACCUCUCUCUCUCUCCUCUCACAUUUUAUAUAAGUAGCAAGGAGAAACCAGGCAGUGCCUUCAACUCUUUGAUUAGUAAUCUCCACAGCUAAGUACUCAAAUUUAUCACUUAAACAUUCUGCUUUCUACGAAACACUAGAAUACAACGUGGCCAAGUUCUUUACCACUUUAUAACAAGUAUACCCUUUCCUCCAGUUUCCAGUAACAUAUUUCUAAUUUCUGUCUGAUACCUCACCAGCAAUACAUUUAAUAUUUAUAUUUUUACCAACAUUCUGCUCAUGAUGACAUAUGUAUAUCUCUAAGGUAAUAGCAGCUUUUCCUGCAGUGUUCCUAUUUUCUUUCUGAGUGCUCACCCAAAUUCUCGUUAACAUUCAUAUUUCUACCCAGAGUUUCUUGAAGACAAUCUAGGAUUUUUCUAGCACACACCUCAAAAUUCUUCCAAUCUCUACCCAUCAGCCCAUUCCAAAGCCACUUCACAUUUUUAGAUUGUUAGAUCUUCAUCCCACUUCUGGUAUCAAAAUCUGUAUUAGUUUGCUAGGGCUGCCAUAACAAAAUACUGCAGACUGACUAGCUUAAACAACAGAAAUGUAUUCCACAUUUCUCCAGAACCCAAUUCGGGAGGCCAAUGAAGGUAUCUGCAGGCUUGGUUUCUUCUGAGGCCUCUCUCCUUGGCUCCCAGAUGGCCACCUUCUCUCCAUGUCUUCACAUGGGUGUCCCUCUGUCUGUAUUGUCUAUGCUCUAAUUUCAUCUUCUUAUAAGGAUACCACUCAUAUCGGACUAGGGCCCACCCUAAUGGCCCUAUUUUAACUUAAUUACUUCUAUCUCCAAAUAUAGCUCUAUCUUCAAAUACGGUCACAUUCUGAGGUGCUAGAGGUUAAGACUUCAACAUCUAAACUUUGCAAAGACACAGUUUAACUCAUAACACCAUCUUUCUAUCAGAUAGUUUGACCGUUUUCAUUGAUUUGUAGGGUAUUCUGUAUCUAUUAAGGAAAUGGAAUUCUGUGCAGUUAAUAGAAUUAGAAUGAAUCAACUCAACAUGUGUUGACAAAUGACGUACAAUAAUUUCCAAGAUACAUUGUUAAUUUUUUAAGGUUCAAAACAGUGUGUAAAGUAUGCAUAUAUCUGUCUAUAUCUAGACUACCUCUGGAAAGAUCAACAAAAAACCCAUAACAGUAAUUGCCUCCAGGAAUAGUAAUUCUUGCGGAGAUGAAAUAAAUGGCUGGAGUCUAGAAAGCUUACUUUUUUCAUUAUGUACCUUUUGUAUUUUCUCAUUUUUUUAAUGUAUUACCUAUUCAAAAGAAGAAAUAUUGGGCCAGGUGCAGUGGCUCAUGCCUGUAAUCCCAGCAAUUUGGGAGGCCAAGGCGAACAGAUCACCUGAGGUCAGGAGUUCGAGACCAGCCUGGCCAACACGGUGAAACUCCAUCUCUACUAAAAAUACAAAAAUUAGCCGGGUGUGGUGGUGUGUGCCUGUAAUCCCAGCUACUCAGAAGGCUGAGGCAGGAGAAUCGCUUGAACCCGGGAGGCAGAGGUUGCAGUGAGUGGUGAUCAUGCCACUGCACUCCAGCCUGGGUAACAGAGUGAGACUCUGUCUCAAAAAAGAAAUAUAACUUAAUGAAACAUUCACACAUGUGCACAUACAUGGUGAACAGUGGAGAUGGAACAAAAGGAAAGGAGAAGACAAGGAAGAAGAUCUAGAAGCACAAUGUAUCCUAAAUUCAGACCAAAGACACGGGCAACUCAAAUUCUAGAGGCAGAGUUCCCCACUCCAUAGUGUUUGGGGCUGGGCCAUUCACCUAUUUAUUCAUUGAACAUUCAUGAGUGUUUUUCAUAAGGCAGGCUGGGUGUUAGAUGUUCAGACACAGGAAUCAGCCCUGUCGUCAAGGAGUUCUUAUACUGGUCGGGGAGAAAGAGAAGUAAUUAGACUAUUAGUCAUGCUGAGUCAUGGUGAUAACACCUGUAGAGGAUGUUAUGGGAGCACAGAGGAGAGGCUGUCAACCCAGCCUGCAGAGAAGAUGUUCCUGUGACAGGUAAUGCUGGCCUCUCUCUGCUGCCCCCAACUCCCCUAUUAUCACUCCCUUCUCUCAACGCUUUCCUGCUGGCAAAAGGAUCUGAGCAUCUUCCCAUGCUGUUGUCCCUGCAGAGCAGCUGCAGGAGCCCCAAGUCACCAUGAAGUCUGUGAAGGUGUCUGAGAACUUCUCCUGUAACAUCACUCUAAUGUGCUCCGUGAAGGGGGCAGAGAAAAGUGUUCUGUACAGCUGGACCCCAAGGGACCCCCAUGCUUCUGAGUCCAAUGGAGCUUCCAUUCUUACCAUCUCCCGAAAGCCCUGUGACCCAGACCUGCCAUACACCUGCACAGCCCAGAACCCCAUCAGCCAGAGCAGCUCCCUCCCUGUCCACGUUGGGCAGUUCUGUACAGAUCCAGGAGCCUCCAGAGGAGAAACAACGGGGGAGACUGUGGUAGGGGUCCUGGGAGAGCCAGUCACCCUGCCACUGGCACUGCCAGCCUGCCAGGACACAGAAAAGGUUGUCUGGUUGUUUAACACAUCCAUUAUCAGCAAAGAGAGGGAAGAAGCAGCAAUGGCAGAUCCACUCAUUAAAUCCAGGGAUCCUUACAAGAACAGGGUGUGGGUCUCCAGCCAGGACUGCUCCCUGAAGAUCGGCCAGCUGAAGAUAGAGGAUGCCGGCCCCUACCAUGCCUACGUGUGCUCGGAGGCCUCCAGAGUCACCAGCAUGACACAUGUCACCCUGCUCAUCUACCGUAAGUCUCUGGGCAGGGAACCCAUCACCAGAUUCCUUCUCUGAAAGCUUUCUCCUCUGCUGCCUUCUCCACCUGCCGCUUCUCCAAGGGUCUUCCCUCAUACUGAAAUGCCUCAGACCACUAGGACAGCUGCUCAGUUCACACCAGUUGAUUCACAGGAGGAAAACUCAUGACUAGCUGCUGGACAAGUCUACCUGCCAAAGUGCCCCUGGCUCUAGGCUGCCAGUUAGGCUUCCACCACCCAACUUUAGGUGCUUGCCCCGGUCCUUCUGCAUUGAGUGUCAGAAUGGACUAGGAGGCCCGGCGCAGUGGCUCACACCUGUAAUCCCAGUACUUUGGGAGGCUGAGGCAGGUGGAUCACCUGAGGUCAGGAAUUUGAGACCAGCCUGGCCAACACGGUGAAACCCCGUUUCUAUUAAAAACACAAAAAUUAGCUGGGUGUGGUGGUGGGUACCUGUAAUCCCAGCUACUCCGGAGGUUGAGGCAGGAAAAUUGCUCGAACCCCAAGGGGUGGAGGUUUCAGUAAGCCGAGAUCGUGCCACUUCACUCCAGCCUGAAAGAAAGAGCGAGACUCCAUCU